rnacentral:rRNA from 1 species
UACGGAGGGUGCAAGCGUUAAUCGGAAUUACUGGGCGUAAAGCGUGCGUAGGCGGUUCGUUAAGUCUGUUGUGAAAGCCCCGGGCUCAACCUGGGAAAUGGCAAUGGAUACUGGCGAGCUAGAGUGUGUCAGAGGAUGGUGGAAUUCCCGGUGUAGCGGUGAAAUGCGUAGAGAUCGGGAGGAACAUCAGUGGCGAAGGCGGCCAUCUGGGACAACACUGACGCUGAGGCACGAAAGCGUGGGGAGCAAACAGG